AGUAACGGCGAGUGAAGCGGCAACAGCUCAAAUUUGAAAUCUGGCUUCGGCCCGAGUUGUAAUUUGCAGAGGAAGCUUUAGGCGCGGCACCUUCUGAGUCCCCUGGAACGGGGCGCCAUAGAGGGUGAGAGCCCCGUAUAGUUGGAUGCCUAGCCUGUGUAAAGCUCCUUCGACGAGUCGAGUAGUUUGGGAAUGCUGCUCAAAAUGGGAGGUAAAUUUCUUCUAAAGCUAAAUACCGGCCAGAGACCGAUAGCGCACAAGUAGAGUGAUCGA
rnacentral:rRNA from 1 species